CGGUAUUUGAUAGAAGUGGAGCCUUUCCCCUACCCUUCGCCAGAGCCUACCAUUUCCGGUCCGGAUUCCGCCGCCGAGCUCGUAGGGCAGGGUAUCAUGGAGACGGAGGCGGCGAGGAACGCGAAAGAGUCGCUGGAGCUGGCCUUCCAGAUGUCCAACAUCCUGGAGACGGGCCUCGAUCGCCACACCCUUUCCCUCCUCAUCGCCCUCUGCGAUCGCGGCCUCAACCCGGAGGCUCUCGCUGCCGUUGUCCGCGAACUCUCCCCGCCGCCCUCCAAGGAACCCAUCUCCUACUCCUCCUCCUCUCGUGCCUGUCUCUACCAGCCCUAAUUUCCCUCUUCACCUCCCCAGCCCUAAGGUCAAGUGACACAAGGGUAUUAGUAGAGUAUUACUUGGUGCUAAAUGUGGAGCAUGAGGACUCUAUUGUAGGGGAUCUUUGUUGUCUUGAAGAAGCAAAGACCAUGAAAAGGCUACGGAUUCGAUGGCUCUCAGCUUUAAAUUCAGACUUGGUAGUAUGGACAUUGAUUUCCUUUUUUCAAUCAACAUGUAGCUGAGGCUGCUCCGGUGUCGCUUAUGAUCCAAUACUUCUCUGAUAGAAAGUAAACAAUAUGAAAUCUGAAUGUCCACUUAAUUUUUUGUUGAUGGUCUAUAUUAUUGCUAUAGUAUGAUCUAACUCAAUCAUAGUGGAGCAGCAUCUUAAAUUAGUUA